rnacentral:misc_RNA from 1 species
GAUGAAGAACGUAGCGAAAUGCGAUAAGUAAUGUGAAUUGCAGAAUUCAGUGAAUCAUCGAAUCUUUGAACGCACAUUGCGCCCCCCAGUAUUCUGGCGGGCAUGCCUGUUCGAGCGUCAUUUCAACCAUCAAGCCCCCAGGGGCUUGUGCUGGGGCCCUGCGGCUGCCCGCAGGCCCUGAAAACCAGUGGCGGGCUCGCUAGUCACACCGAGCGCAGUAGCACAUCUCGCUCAGGGCGUGCGGCGGGCUCCUGCCGUGAAACCCCCCACUGUAACCCCAAAGGUUGACCUCGGAUCAGGUAGGAAUACCCGCUGAACUUAAGCAUAUCAAUAAGCGGAGGA